GGAUAUCAUGGUUCACCAACCCUUCAGCCAUCCACAACUGCAUCAACUUAGAGACUGGAGUUCGUUUGCUCUUUCGAGAUCUUGCAAAGUAAAGCAACAACGGCUUCAGGUGGUAUGGUAAGUGGUCAUAACUUAAUUGCAUAACCUUCAUCAUCUGCAAAUUGAUGUUGGCAGAAAUAAAGGAAUCCAAAUUAUCUUGAAUAUUAAGCCACAAAUCAUUUUCCAUUUUCUUUCCUCUAACAAUUACUCCAGCAAUCAAAACAACAGCCAAAGGAAGCCCCUGACAUUUGUCAACUAUUUGGUGUCCAACUUCUGACAGUUCAGCAGGGCAGCUUCCUUCUCCAAAUACCCUUUUUNNNNNNNNNNNNNNNNNNNNNNNNNNNNNNNNNNNNNNNNNNNNNNNNNNNNNNNNNNNNNNNNNNNNNNNNNNNNNNNNNNNNNNNNNNNNNNNNNNNNNNNNNNNNNNNNNNNNNNNNNNNNNNNNNNNNNNNNNNNNNNNNNNNNNUCUUUUCCUCCCGAGCCAGUAACUUGUAGAAGAAUCUCCCGCAACACCUUUGACUUGUUAUACUUUUGGGAAACAGUGCACCAAGCACGAACAUUGAAAUGAGUAGCAACUAAUGUAUUGUUAUACACUUUGUUGGCCAGAAUAGUUUUACCGAGUCCUGGCAUUCUGACAAUCGAAAUGACAUCAAGCUCGGAUUCAUGUUUAUCAAGGAGCUGGUCAAUCAUCUUGGCUUCAUCUUCUUCAUGACCUACUGUUACCUCAACAAAAGAUGAUGAGGUUGACUCAAUUGGCUCGACGGAAGACUUUGCAUCAAUAGGGUCAUCCCCAUUCUUAUCCUCCAGCUGUAAACUGGUGACUUCUGCCACGAUAAGCUUGAUCUUAUCAGUGACACUCGGAAGUGAGAAAAGGAGAUGCGAGAGAGCAUUAUCUCUGACAAGAAUGGAAUUAAUGACAUGUUCUGCCUCAUAUGCCACAUCUAAAGCACACACCCAACAAUCUUUAACUACUCCACUGGUGUCAUCCAAUGUUUGCCUGAAAGAUGAUGUUAGGUAUUCAAGGCUUUGUUUCACUAUUCCAAUUUCUUUCUUUAUGAGAGAAACUGAAUAAGCAUUGGAAAUGAGCAAAUCAUUUAAAUGUCUGAGUAGAAGAUUCAUGAAGAGGAAACCAUCAUCCAUAGGAAAGCAGAGUUGAGAUGACUGAUCCGGGGCUUUCAAAAAAUUCUGUUUGAUAUCUCCCUUCAUUCGUUCAAUUUCUUGCAACAAGUCUGGAGCUGAAAAGUCUGCUUCAUUCAUAUUAGAGCUCUCCUCCAUGAGAAUAGAUAGAUUCCUUGUAAGUAGUCCGACAUGUGCCAACAUAUCGUUCAAUUUGUCAGGAUGGAUAAAGCGCUUUGGUAUAUCGGUGAGAAAGAUCAAUAGGAACUCGAUCAUGGCAUUAAUACUUUGAGUUUGAGAGUAAUUGACAGCUACCAUGCGUCCUUGGAGAUGAAUGAGAUAAUUUUGAAGAAUCUUUGGAGAUGCUUUUAGGAUUUGCUUCACUAACCGUUUUAGUUGAUGAGUUGACUUUGAUUCUUUGAUGAGCUUAGAAGUAGAAAUGUAUAGAACCUCCAGCUCAAGAGGGAUUAUGUCGAUCAGUAGAGAAGUGACGUUGGAAGAGUAUUCAGAGACUUUGGAUGAGGGAUUAUAGUUUCCAGUCCAAAUAGCAAAAUGGAAUUGUAGAAAUGUAUGGGCGAUGAAUUGGAAGCGAGGAAAGAGAUAUUGAGUGGUAGUUGUUUUGUUGGCCAGGAGGAUAGGAUAGAAAUCUGUCAGACGACGAAAUACUUGGCGAAGAGUGUUGUAGUCAGUCAUCUGCGAGAGAAUCAAAUCAGAAGAAUAGUUUGGUAGAUCAUGGAGGUUUGUGAAGAGGUAUUCAAACAUUUUCUCCUCUGUGGUCAUUGCUACAUAAUUAUCAUUCUUCAAACUUAAAUAACUUUCCAUCUCCUCCAGCAGCAGAGGGACAAGACUAUCCAUGUUGGGACUAUCAGAGAGUUAACACACGAAAUAAGAUUCAUAACUAACAAAUAACAUGUCUUUGAACAAUACAUAGAUAUAUAGUCAAAGCUUAACUACUCCAAAUAAAACAAAUUACUAAUGAGGCAAAGCAAUACACAAUUUACAUGAAAGAAAACACUCAAAACAUUAAGUUAAAACAUCUCCAGAACAAGUUUGUUUAUUGGAAGCAGUAAUCAGAUGAAAUCAGAUGGAAGCGUUGCGUUGUUUUCUUUCUUCAUUGUUGUUCUAUCCUUUGUGUAUUCUGCAAAUUAUAUAUGUAAGUAUAUGAAGUGUAUAUGUAUGGAGGGGUAAAGAUGUAAGAAAUUAAUUACCUCUUCUUGACUUUGUUAGCAAUGGAAUAUAUGGACAUGAAGUCUGUCCUCUCCUGCGAAAUCAAUUACAUCUUUCUUAAUCUCCAUGGCUGAAUCUACAACCUGACUGUUAAUAUUUGUUAAAUGAAUGAACUUUAAAGUGUCUAUAUCCGCGAAUGCACAAGGGAUCUCCAUAAACUCCUCACAGUAUUCUACUAUUAAUUCCUCAAGCUUGGGAAAAGUUCCCUUAUCAACUUCCCAUUCUGAAAGGUUGACCUCUCGCAAACUCAAAGUCUUAAGACUUUGAUACAUGUCCUCACUUGCAUCCCACUUAUCCUCCACGAAAUCAGAGUAGAUAAUCGCCAGGAUUUCAAGGUGAGGCAAUGCCGCGAUUGCUGACAACAAAGCAGGUCUCAUGUGAAAUAAAUUCAACCGUAACUCUUUCAAGCUGCUAGGGAAGUGAUAUUCAUUGGGACGUGUUAUUUGGUAGAUUAACUCGGUGUGAAAUAAGAACUCUUUGGGCAUCCUGUAUAUUGCAAAGAGUGAUUUAGUGAUUCAAGUUUAUUAAGAACAUCAAGCUUGGGAAACCAAUCGCCGUGUGUAGGAGUAAGAGGGUACCGCGGUUCCACAAUGAUGCGAUGAAGGUGCUGAAGAUUCGGGAACUUCUCCAGAGCAUCACUCGUGGCUUCAGUGUAUGAGAUAAAAACUUUGGAUAAAGUUGUCAAGUCUUCUAACUUUGGUUGAUUCAUAAUAUUGUCCGCAUCCUCUUCCUCUUCAAAGAAAGAACUCGUGUCAAUUUUCACAUGUUUCAGCUUUGACAGUUUUAAUAUUCUGGGCAGUAAUACCAUGGUGGAAUAUCCAGUACUGAUCAACAGAGUUUCCAGAUUCUGGAGGUUCAACCACGACACUGGGAUAGCUUUUACACCUCGAGUCCGAAUCCUUAAGAACCUCAAAUAAAAUAGGGAGCCUAUUUCUUCCAUUAAAGAAUCAUUCAACUCAAUGCUAUCCAGUUGCAAUCCUCUAACAAGUCCAAAGGGUUUUGUGUGAUAGAUAUAGCUGGAGUGGAGAAGUGAACCGCUAACUUUCAAAGAUAUGAGAUGCUUACUACCAACUGAACACUUUUUAGACUUGAACAAAACACAUUUUUUGUGGAGUUGGUUGUUGUCAGUACGAAUGGUUAGACGAUGGUGUAGGAAAUAAGAAGCAUGAAAUCGAGCACCUAUAUUGAUUAACUUGAGAAACUUUUCCUUUUUGGCUUUUACUGAACAAAAAUCGUGCACAACAUCAUGCACAUAGCAAACCUUGAUCCUAACAGAAAAAGGCAUAUUCUUCUUGUAGAGCAUAUGAUCCACCAUUAUCAGGCUACUGGAAACUAAAGCAUCCAAGUAUCUUUGAGUUGCUUCCUCUAAACUACACUUGGAUGGGAUAUCAUGGUUCACCAACCCUUCAGCCAUCCACAACUGCAUCAACUUAGAGACUGGAGUUCGUUUGCUCUUUCGAGAUCUUGCAAAGUAAAGCAACAACGGCUUCAGGUGGUAUGGUAAGUGGUCAUAACUUAAUUGCAUAACCUUCAUCAUCUGCAAAUUGAUGUUGGCAGAAAUAAAGGAAUCCAAAUUAUCUUGAAUAUUAAGCCACAAAUCAUUUUCCAUUUUCUUUCCUCUAACAAUUACUCCAGCAAUCAAAACAACAGCCAAAGGAAGCCCUUGACAUUUGUCAACUAUUUGGUGUCCAACUUCUGACAGUUCAGCAGGGCAGCUUCCUUCUCCAAAUACCCUUUUUNNNNNNNNNNNNNNNNNNNNNNNNNNNNNNNNNNNNNNNNNNNNNNNNNNNNNNNNNNNNNNNNNNNNNNNNNNNNNNNNNNNNNNNNNNNNNNNNNNNNNNNNNNNNNNNNNNNNNNNNNNNNNNNNNNNNNNNNNNNNNNNNNNNNNNNNNNNNNNNNNNNNNNNNNNNNNNNCAACUUGCUGAAGAAUCUCCCGCAACACCUUUGACUUGUUAUACUUUUGGGAAACAGUGCACCAAGCACGAAUCUUGAAAUGACUAGCAACUAAUGUAUUGUUAUACACUUUGUUGGCCAGAGUAGUUUUAUCGAGUCCUGGCAUUCCGACAAUAGAAAUGACAUCAAGUUCGGAUUCAUGUUUAUCAAGGAGCUGGUCAAUAAUCUUGGCUUCAUCUUCUUCAUGACCUACUGUUACCUCAACAAAAGAUGAUGAGGUUGACUCAAUUGGCUCGACGGAAGACUUUGCAUCAAGAGGGUCAUCCCCAUUCUUAUCCUCCAGCUGUAAACUGGUCACUUCUGCCACGAUAAGCUUGAUCUUAUCAGUGACACUCGGAAGUGAGAAAAGGAGAUGCGAGAGAGCAUUAUCUCUGACAAGAAUGGAAUUAAUGACAUGUUAUGCCUCAUAUGCCACAUCUAAAGCACGCACCCAACAAUCUUUAACUACUCCACUAGUAUUGUCAUCCAAUGUUUGCCUGAAAGAUGAUGUUAGGAAUUCAAGGCUUUGUUUCACUAUUCAAAUUUCUUUCUUUAUGAGAGAAACUGAAUAAGCAUUGGAAAUGAGCAAAUCAUUUAAAUGUCUGAGUAGAAGAUUCAUGAAGAGGAAACCAUCAUCCAUAGGAAAGCAAAGUUGAGAUGACUGAUCCGGGGCUUUCAAAAAUUCUGUUUGAUAUCUCCCUUCAUUCGUUCAAUUUCUUGCAACAAGUCUGGACUAGCUGAAAAGCCUGCUUCAUUGAUAUUAUUCUCAGAGCUCUCCUCCAACAGAAUAGAUAUCUUCCUUGUAAGUAGUGCGACAUGUGCCAACAUAUCGUUCAAUUUGUUAGGAUGGAUAAAGCGCUUUGGUAUAUCGGUGAGAAAGAUCAAUAGGAACUCGAUCAUGACAUUGAAACUUUGAGUUUGAGAGUAAUUGACAGCUACCAUGCGUCCUUGGAGAUGAAUGAGAUAAUUUUGAAGAAUCUUUGGAGAUGCUUUUAGGAUUUGCUUGACAAACCGUUUUAGUUGAUGAGUUGACGUUGAUUCUUUGAUGAGCUUAGAAGUAGAAAUGUAUAGAACUUCCAGCUCAAGAGGGAUUAUGUUGAUCAGUAGAGAAGUGACAUUGGAAGAGUAUUCAGAGACUUUGGAUGAGGGAUUAUAGUUUCCAGUCCAAAUAGCAAAAUAGAAUUGUAGAAAUGUAUGGGCGAUGAAUUGGAAGCGAGGAAAGAGAUAUUGAGUGGUAGUUGUUUUGUUGGCGAGGAGGAUAGGAUAGAAAUCUGUCAGACGACGGAAUACUUGGCGAAGAAUGUUGUAGUCAGUCAUCUGCGAGAGAGUCAAAUAGUUUGGUAGAUCAUGGAGGUUUGUGAAGAGGUAUUCAAACAUUUUCUCCUCUGUGGUCAUUGCUACAUAAUUAUCAUUCUUCAAACUUAAAUAACUUUCCAUCUCCUCCAGCAGCAGAGGGACAAGACUAUCCAUGUUGUAUUUCUCUAGAGUUACUUCAUCAUUAAGUAGUGACCGAGUCAUAAAACUGAACUUGUUUAUUUUGUUGGACAUCCUCUCAUAAAAGUCAUCCAAACUUGAAUCCCCAAACAGGACAAAUGUUCUUAGGAAUCUCAGAUUCAUUCUUAGCUUUUUAUUGGCACGCCAAUUUGAAUGUCUCAAUACUUCGUCAUUCAUUAUUUUCUUCAAGCCAUUUGAGCAAUCAUCAAUAAGAUUCCUGAUUCUUCUUCUUUUUUCCUCCUAAAUUAAAACAUAAUAUGUAAUUGUUAUCAUUGUUGUUGUUGUUGUUUCAAUAGAGACAAUAACUAAAGAAAUCAAAAUUUAGUAAGACUUGGACAAAUUGAAUUAGCCUAAAUACCCGAUUCUCAGUUUUUCAUGUGUGUUAGCCCAUUAAUAUUUUGGUGAUAUAACUUUCGGACCAUUUUUUAAAAAAAACUUCAUGGACCCUCCGUAAUGAGUUGUGGGAACAGUACGCAUAGUCUCACUAUGAUCCAUGACAUUUUUUGGCAUUUAGAACCCAUUUAACAAGAAUUAAAUCAUUUUCUUAGUUUUUUUGUGUAUUAAGUCCAUGAAUAUUUUGGUGAUAUGAUUUCUGAGCGAUUUUUUGAAGAAACUUUACGUGACCCUCCGUUAUGAGUCGAGAGUGUAGUACGCAUAGCCUCACCACUUACCCGGAUCGGUUAAGCUCCCAAAAACAAGAAAGUGUGGCGCCACAGGUUCGAUCAACCAUGGGAGUAGGCAUCUUUGAGGAAGGAGAACAGGGGAAUCGUUUGGUCUAAGCAGAUGCUUUCCUUUUCCAGAUUCAUCUGAGAGAUUUUUGGUGUUGUCUUUUUUUUUUUUUUUUAAAUAUUAUUAUUUUAAGGGAAAAUUGUAUAUAAUAGCAAACUAUUAAUUCAAAUUAAAUGUUAUAACCACAAUUUGAUUUAAUAGUAACCCGUAGCAAACAAUUGUCAUUCGCCUCUCUCCCUAGGUUUCUCGCUCGCCAGUCUUGCCAUUCUCUCCCUCACCUCUCUCGCUUUUAUACAAACACAAAUGUAUAAAAUGUGUUUGUGUUUGUAUAAAGCGAGAGAAAACUGUAUAUACAAAUAUGAAUACAUAUAUUUUCGUCCUAUACACUUAUAAUUAUACAAAUACAGAUCUUCCUCUGCACAGUUCUCUUUUGCCUUUCUCGCUUUAUAAAAACACAGAUUAUACAAAUUACAGUGUAUAAUUUGUGUUGUAUAAAGCGAGAGAGAGAGAUUUGAUAUACACAUGUUUUAUUUCGAUUCAAUUGUAUACAAAUUCAAAUUUUAUGCAGAUAUAUAAACACAUUGAAUUGAGAGGCUGCCAAUGAUUUAUUCAAACAAAAGGCUGCCAACGAUUUAUACAAAUGGCCUGCCAGUGAAAUUAUACAAAUCUGAAGCUCCUGCCAGCGAGUUAUACAAUCUGAUGCUCCAUAACAAACAUACAAUUUGUUAUAGAGCGCAAUUAUACAAACUAUAGCUAUAACAUACAAAUAUGAUUUUUAUGUUUGCUAUAUAUGAAAGUUACUCUUAUUUUAACUUACUUGGGCUGGCCACUUUUGGGCUUGACACAUUUUGGCUUUAGCUUUGAACCUUUGUGUUCAUAUUAAAUAAAAUGGCCCCAUGGGUUAUUAUUGAAAGAAAAAAAAAAAGAACUUAAGCUCUAACACGCACACAACAAGGGACCUGAUAGAGCUAUUAAGGGCAUCUUUUAUGUGUUGUUGUCUAAAUGAUUGUAAUGUGCUGAUAUUGUAAGCAUUUAUAAAGAAAUGUAUCAAUUUUGUCAGUUGUGUACCAAAUACAAAGCACAAUUAGAGUUAAUUGUGCGAAUUGUAAGUGAAGUCUAUAUUAAUUAGAGUUAGUUAAUAUAGUGGAAAAUGGAGACAUUGCUUUGGCUUAGCUAAGUAAUAGAGUUAUUAUUUGUAGUGAGAUUAGGAGUUUAGUCUCACGUGGUGUACUUGAAGUCUGUAUUCACUUGUUGCUUGAUAGUAGUGAAAACAGUUGGAAAUCCUGUGAGUACAGAUCGUGGUUUUACUCCCUUGAGCAAGGAGGUUUCCACGUAAAAAUCACUUGCCUUUACUGUUCUUUAUAUCUCUUUUACUGCAUUCCAGUAUACCUCGACAUGGUACUAUAGUACACUGUGAGGUAGCACAUCUCAACAAGGAGCAGUACAUAUAAACUCAUCAUGAUCCACGAUACUUUUGGGGUACACAAUCAAUCGAAAAUAUGUACACAAUCAAUCGAAAAGACAAAUAUGACUUACCAGUUCCCAUUUCUUAAUGAGUUUUAAUUGGGGUACCCUUUUAAUUGUUAAUCUUUUUAGCUUCGGUCAUUAAAUAUAUUCAUUCACAACUUUUCAUGUACAUAGUCUCUCUUCCUUUAUAAAUUUGACAAAAAAUUAUUAAUUUACAGCACUUUUUAGCUUCAUCAUCUUAUAAUUCUUAUAUAAUUUUGUUAUUUAUCGGCCAUUCUUUUUUUUUUUCUUAUUAAUAUAUUCAUUUUGUAUGAUAUGACGACAAAUAUAUUGUGUUGCUUUUCACGUUAAUUGACUUGAUUAUAAAUGUUUUCCCUUUUAACUUUCAUUCUAUAUUUCAAUUUUUAUGAUUUUUUUCUUUUAAUUUGUCAUUCUUAUAAAUUAAUACAACAUGUAAUAUUGGAUACAAGUUUUUAUUGUACUGUCCAAUUAUUCAUAUAUACACAUUGUAAUCAUCAGUUUGUUAUUUUAUGGGAUUUUAUCAGCUCAAGUAUAUUAUCUAACCCCUUAGACAAUUUUAACAUAUCAUAUGGUGUUAUCAUUGUUUUAAUUUGUUUCUAUGAUUAUUGAAUGUUGUUUAAAGAUUUUAGCAUAAGUAUUUUUUAUAAAAAAAUCUUAUAAGUAAUUGAGGCCAAACAUGCAACACAUAUUCUCAAAAUAAUUGUUACAAAAAUAAUGUAAAACUAAUAAUUGCUAGAAAAAUAAGUAUAAUUUAUAUGUAAAACUUAAUUACUAAUAAUUUGGAGCAUGUAAAAGUAUUGAUAGACAUACCGAUGACUUUCCUUCUUUUUCCAUUGAAUCUCCAACCUCGAACCAGCCUUCAAUUUCUAAAGAAUUGAUUUUUCAACUUAUGAUCACAUGCACAUUAAAUUAGGAUAAAAAUUAGAAGAUAGUAAUCACAUGCGCACAAGUAAAAGAAAAUGCAAAAUAAUUAUUCCUAGUAAUUUACGGUUUUAAGUAAAUAAAUGAAUUGGUGAAAGUAAUAAAUAGCAUGUCAAAAUAUAUAUUUUACGUUGAUUAGACUUGAUAGGUUACUCAGAGUGGCGCACAAGUAUAUACACUAAUAAUUUUUCAAGAAUUUGGACCAUAAUAUAUACUCCUUCUAUUCUAUAUUAACUGAAUUUGUGAGACAAUGCACACAUAUUAAGAAAAACAUUUAAGAACAUAACUUAAACCAUAAUUUUUACUAUUGUCCUUUGCGAAAUCAUAAAUAUAGCUUUGUAAGUAGUGUAAUUUAUCUCAUAGAAAAUAUAAACUCCAAUAAUUGAAAGGGUAAAUAUGAAAAAAAUUUCAAACAUUCAUUUUGAACUUUGAACAAUUCAAUUAUUCUGAACAAUGAAAAAAAUCUAAAAAAUUUACUAAAUAUGAAAUGGAAGAAGGACUAAAAAGAUGAGAUCUAAAUUUAAACAAACCAUGAGUGCGUUUGGUAUGAACGAAAUUAUUUUCUGAAAAUAUUUUUUUAACUAAUAAGUGGGUUUGUUAUUUUUUUUUGUGUGUGUUUGAUAUGUUUUCUAAAUAAUAAGAGCAUGUUUGGUAUUGCUGUUAAAAAUUGCUUAUUUUUGAAAAGCACUUUUUUAAAAUGACUUUUUAAAAAAGUGCUUUUGAAAAAAAUAAUUUAUGUUUGGCUAAUUCAUUUGAAAAGUGAUUUUGAUAAACAAAUUGUAUUUUGCUAAUCUUUUUAAAAAAAUGCUUUUGAGAGUCAAAUUACGAAAAAGAGUAAGUAUUAAUGUGCUUUUAAUAUUAAUAUUAUUUUAAAGAGAGAAACUAUUUUAAUUAUCUAUUACAAAAAUUUUAGUUACAAUUUUAUUUUAAUGAUAUUAAAAUGUACAUAUUCAUAAAUUUAAAAAUCAUUCCACAAAUUAAACCACUAUAUACAAAAAUUCACCACAAAAAUAAAUAAAGUCUUUCAUAUGUUUAAUCCUACAAAAUAUUGUUGUUACCUUUAUUUCUAGUUCUGUAAAAUAAAACAUAUAAUAAUAUAUAAUAAUCUAUAAAAUAUAAAUAAUAAUAUAUAAACAUUAAAUAAAUAAUUUAUUAUAUAAAAAUAAAAAAUAAAAUACUUUAAUGAAUCUUAACCAAACUUAUAAGAUAUGCUAAUUAGUUAAUAAGGGAUAUAUUGAUAAAUAUGUAUAUAUGAAGGGGAUAUUUUAGUCUUUAAAAAAAUAUUUUUUUGAGAAGUUGAAAUUUUUAACUUCUUCCCAACGACAACAGAAAAUCUGCUUCUGCUUCCAUUUAAAAGCAGUUUUAAGGACUUGCCAAACACUUAAUUUUUCAAAAUAAUUGUUUUUUCCUAAAAAAAUAAUAAUAAUUUUAGCCUCCCAACAGCAAUGCCAAACAAGCUCUAAGUAAUCAAACGAAAACAUUGAAAAAUAUAUAUUUCCUCCGUACUGAACACACCCUAUAUUAAAAGUGUUUUCCGUAUCAAGAUAUAUUAAGAUCUUAAAUAUAGAGCCAACCAAGAUAUAUAUCUACAAAACUACGUUAAAAGGUCUUCUUCUAUAAAUCAUUUUUCUAGUUCUUAUUAUGUAUGUUUCUUUCAAAUCAAGUGAAUCACAGAAAUACAUGUAAAAAAUGAAAUAGAAAACUAGAAAAAUAUUAUAUUAUACCUUUUUGUUUACUUCCAAGCUAAUAAUUCCUCUCAAAUGGUAGUUUGCCUUGUUGCAGAUUUACAGGAAGCAAAUGUUGAAGAACCUAAUUCACUUAUUUAAAAAGCUUUAUUGUUAGAUAUCUGCACAUGUGAAAAUAGAUUAGUUUAAGUUUAGUAUUGUUUUGAAUUAUUAAAGCAAAGUCUUUCUAUAUAAUUUCCGACAGUCCAUAAAAAUAUUUGUUUGAAAAAAGUUAUUCAAUUAGUCCUAAUCAAGUAAGUUGACAAGAAAAAAAAAUGGCAUUUUAAUGUCACAUUAUUAUUAUAAAAUAAUAAUAAAAAAAGCUAUGAUGUUAAUGCACCAACAAUUGCAAUUAUGUAUUUUUUUGUUGUCUUGAUUUUUGGAAUCAAGUGAAGUGGUUGAUGUUUGAUUUUUGGAACCAAUUCUCAACCAGUAUUUGCUUGACUUUUCUUUUUGUUUAUAAAUUAUUUUUCUACAUAAAUAAAAUUUUAAAUUAUUUGUUUUAACUAAAUAUUGUGUAGUUUUGAUUUGAAAAUUUUGAUGUACCUAUUCAUUUACCACUUCUCCAAGUUUGAACACACUUUUUUUUCUUAACUAAUAUUGUCGUUACGCCGUUGUUUUUGCCCCUCACAAUAAAUGGUAUAUUUUUUUUAUUGUAGCUUAAGUUUAUAUUUUUAUAUCAUAAUAUUUUAUAUAAGUUAUGUUUUUAGUUUGUAAACAACUUGGCAUAAAUUUGUGAAGUUGGUCAAAGUGCAAAGUGGAAUUAUUAUUCUAUCUCUAUUCUAAAUAAAAUAUCUAAUUCAUUAAAUAUUAAAUAAUAUCAUAUAUAUUGUACAAAAUACUAAUACCGGAAAGGUGUUAAAUCAAAAAGUUGAAUAAACUUUUAAAUACAAUCAAAUGAGAAAGACAUUAAAAAUAUGAUAAUGAAACGAUCAUGGCUGAUUUUUGGAACCAAUUCUCAGCUAGUAUUUGCUUGACUUUUCUUUUUAUUUUUUAAAAUUAUUUUUCUACAUAAAUAAAUUUUAAUAUUAUUGUUUAACGAAAUAUUGUGUAGUUUGAUUUGAAAAUUUUGAUGCACCUAUUCAUUUUAAAGAAAAGGAAAAUGGUCUGAUAGACCCUGGUACUUGUAUGUGUUUGUAUUCUGAACCUUUCUACUUACCUCUUUGUCAACUGAACCCUUUAACUCAAUAAAAUUCAACAUCUUAAACCCUUUUGACCAUUGACCAAACUUAUGUGGCAACUUAAUUGUUGAGUUGGCAUAAGUACGUGAUUUUAUGUAAAAAAGGAGCGUGAAAAUAAAAAUUUAGACUAAAAAUAAUUAAAAGAAAAAGGAAAUUACAAUAAAAACAACAAAAUAAAAAUAAAAAUUAUAAACUUCACUCUUUCUUCUUUCCUCCACCCCGUUCCAUUUCUUUCACCUUUGUCACGACCUGAGCCUACACCCUGGACAUGGCUGGCACUCGAGAAUCAUUGCUAGUCCCCAAGCGAACCCUCAUCCUGGCUACCUAUAAGUGAAAGACUAACUCAAGCAUACAAAGCUUAAAACAUAAUGAAAUUCAUGAAAAACUUAAAUACAAGCUUUAACUCAAAAGAAAACUCUGAAUAAAAAUAGAAUAUUCAACUAGCCAACAAUAGGCAACUCAAAUCUUUAAUACAUUUAAUAAGAUAAAUGAAACAGACUUCUCAAACUCUACUAUCUAUCUAUGAAGCCUCUAACUGACAAAGAUGAAAGUUAAGACAAGACCCACGACAUCCUAAAAACUGAUAUAACUAAAAAGCAAAUGAAAUCCUCCGGAAUCAAGGAGACUCACCAUAGCUAACUCGAACUCCAUGUGGUAUCAAUAAAGCUCCUGUUGAUGAUCUUGAAUACCUGAAUCUGCAUCAUGAAAGGAUGCAGGCCAAAUGGCUCAGUACAUGGAAUGUACGAACAUGUAAGGGGAAUUCUAAAGCACAACAUAAGCUUGAACUUGAUAAAAAGGAAACAUACUUACCUCUUCUCAACUCACUCAACUAACUCAACUCAGGAAUAAGAUUCUCAACUGAAAGAUAAAAUAUUCAACUCGGUGAAAUAAGGCUCAACUCAAUAAUAAGAUAUUCAACUCAGUGAAAUAUGACUCAACUCAAUAAUAAGACACUCGACUCUUAGUACUCAAACUCUGGAUACUCAACUUUGGAUACUCAUCUCAAUAUAAAGCAACACUAAUAGAUGCAAUAUAUGGAAAGUUUUUAAAACAAUAGAAAGCAACUCAAUGUAUUUAAGAAUACAUUAUACUCAGUUUGUAUGCAAGGAUACAAUAUAAACUCUGUUUGUAUAUGAAAAUACAAGUAAACUUUGUGUAUAUAAAAAUACAAAUAUCUCUAUGGGAGUUUCUCUAACCGACAACCAUCACUUGAGAGCUAUUGUGAUAAUACAACGUUUUGCCUCACGCUGGAAGGGCCGUCCUAUACCUUGCCAAGGGUAUUGAACCUGACUACUAAGUGGAAAGCACUAAGGAAUCAUCUAAAAAGUAUGACCCUUUUCUACCCAUGGUGGCUACAUGGUUUAUGGGGGCUGUGAGUUAUCUGAACUCCCCCCUCCCAUAUCGGUGCUCAAUACUACUCCCAAAAUAUGAUACUAGCUCUUAUGUUUAAAAACAUACUUCUUUCUGUGAUUUGAGAUAAUUGCUCAAAACUUAGCUCAAAGGCUAUCUUGGAAAUCAAAGUUUUAUCUCUCGCUUAAUUGUGAAAGCAUUUACUCUUUUCUGAAAACUAGCUCAAAGGCUCUUUGGAAAUCAAGGUUUCCUUUUCUUGUUUAAAUGUGAAAACAUUUUCUCUUUGGGAAUACUUAGUUCCCAUAUAAUCUUUUGAAGAAACUGAACUUCAAUUUUACUCUUACUAAAACGUUUGUAAAAGACUUCCUAAAAUAUGGUUCAUGCCGAAUUAUGGACGUGAACGACUCAAUGCAAGGUUUUCAAUAACCAUAGAUAGAACUCAAUACUCAAGACUUAGAACUUGAAGAUACUACUCCUCUCAAUGAUGCUCAAUUUAUGGAGUUCAUGUGGAAUUAUAUGCAUGAACGACUCGACUCAAAGGUCUACAUAACUACAUGGAUCUCAUGUAUAUGACUCUUCUCAUUCUCUUACUUACUUCCUCAAAACUUAGUUCAAAGCAAUAGUUGAUCUCAAAGAAUUCACAAUCGAACUCAAAGACUUUCUUGAACUCUACUCUUAAUUCUCUCUUGAAUGUGAAUUAUGAAUUCAAGAGUUAUAGUUCAUGAUAUGAAGGAUCUCGGUGAUAGUGUAGACUCAUGAAAAGAUUCUCCUCACUCAUAUUCACUUACUUGAGUCUUGAAACAAGUUACUAGAAGUUGUAGAAGACUCCUCAAAAGGACUCAAAAGGGCUUUCUUAAAUGUUCAGAAGAACUCUCAAGACUCAACUCUUAACUUUACCUUGAAUUGGAAUUAUUAAUUCAAGGUUAUGAUUCAUGUUAAGAAUUAUUUCUAAGUGUUUAGAAGUAGUUUAGAGUGAUUAAAAUAAAAGGGAGUGAAGGUACACUUAAAUGGGACUCAAACGGGACAACCAACAGAAAAAGAGUGGGGGUAGGCGACCUUGGCGCGUUCCGGGCGUGGGGCGCCAGCCCCAAACUUAAGAGGCUGCAUAUGGGCGCACUGCAAGGGCGCCGCCCCAGCCUCUCCCCAGGCCGAGUUCGACGAAUUUUCCCUCUCGUUUUCUGAUCUUAAAUCGCUUUUAAUCGAUUUCUUUUCUCAAGUUUUCCUUAGAUUCAAUUACCCAACCUAAGUACACACUAACCCACUCAAAAAAACACUCAAAACAAUCACUUUCAUCUCAAGAAAUCAUCAAAACCCUAAUAAAAUAAGAUUUAGAAUGAACUUCAAGAACUUAAAUCAUUCUACUUUUGAGAAUGAAAUUAAGCUGAAAAUAACAUGUUUGGCGUACGGGUGACAAAUCCAACACUAUGGAAGCUUACAUACCUCUUAGGGAUCAAACCCAUGGCGAAAAUCCACGACAAAAAUCAAGAACCUCGACGAACGCCUUGAUCCUUUCUCUUUUCUCCUCUUCUUUUCUCUUCUUGAACUCUCAACUAAAACCCUAGGCGUAUAUUAGGAUUAUAAAACUGAACCUAAUCAGAUUAGACCUAUAAAACAUUACUAAAAAUGAAUUAAAUCUGAUUGGGUAAGGAAAAGACGAAAAUACCUCUCUAAAAUCCGGUUAUGAUUGUCCUUAUCUAGACAACCCAACUUCUAAUGAACAUAUCUCCCUCAUAUGAACUCGAAACUGAGCAAACUCGGUGGCGUUGGAAAUAAUUCAAAUAUUUUUCCUACGGUAUAUGAUAGAACACCUAACUCAUCCUUAGCUACGAGUUAUGGUCGGUUGAAGUCGACCCUAAACUCAUACUUAGCUUAACCAGCAAAAUUUCAGAUUUUGCUAUUUCUAAUUUAGUUCUUUUUGGAACUCAAGGUGCUACAUCUAGUGACCUGACCUUAAUACUUAAGAAAUUUGAAAUUCCUUAGUGAAAUCCUACUCACAACGAAGGAUGAUUAGAGUCUCAGUUCGUAAAAAAUUUCUGGGGUGUUACAACCUUUCUUGAUCUUCCCCCACCCAAUUCCCCAUUACUUUCGUUCUCCCUUCCUGUACUCCUUUCCAUUUCCUUUUCUCUUUUUCCUUUUUCAUUUUAUCUUUCCCAAAUUAGAAAUGAUAUCGUGCAAAAAAUGAGAACAAAAUGAGCAAAGGAAAAUCAAGAAAAUUGAUGCAAUACCCAAAUCCACGGAAGAAAUAUGUCUAAUGAGUAUCAUGAACUCUUUUUGUUGUUAAAAUUGUUAGCAAUUUUAGUGCUCCAUCUUUAAAUUUGUUAUUGUUCUUGAUUUGUCUUUCUUUUCCAUCUUCUAGGGUUAACUGACAAAGAUCCGGUAGUUUUGAAGGAUAAAAGUAAUUGUUGAAUGUAAAUUAGAUGAAGUAUGUUGGAUAAAUAUAAAUAUUAUAAUCUAUUGAAAUACUUCAAUGGUGAUUCAUUGGCAUCCAUGGAGAAAAGGAUUUUACAUGUGUUGGUCAAGUGAUAUGAAGAUGAAGAUGGAGUAAAAAAAGAAGAAAAAAAAUAAUUUAUUUUAAAAAAUUAAAUAAUAAGUGACGUGUCAUAUAAAAUCUGAUGUGGGUGAUGACAUGUCAUUUUUAUUGUGCGUUUGAAGUUCACACAAGGCCAAAGAGAUUUAAAAUGCUGAGUUUUAUUGAGUUUAAGGGUUCAGUUGGUAAAUGGUUAAGUAAAAGGGUUCAAAAUACAAACACAUACAAGUACAAGGGUCCAUCAGACCAUUUCGCCCAAAGAAAAUACCACUUCUCCAUGUUUGAACACUUCUAACUAAUUUUGUGGUCGCGUCAUUGUUUUUGCCCUCACAAUAAAUGAUAAUUGUUUAUUGUGGCUUAAGUUUAUAUUUUUAUAUCAUAAUAUUUCAUUUAAGUUAUGUUUUUAGUUUGUAAACAACUAGGUAUAAAUUUGUUAAGUUGGUCAAAGCGCAAAGUUGGAUUAUCAUAUUAUCUCUAUUCUAAAUAAAAUAUCUAAUUCAUUAAAUGUUAAAUAUAUAUUAUAUUAAAUACUAAUAGAGAGAAGGUGUUAAAUCAAAAAGUUGAAUAAACUUUUAAAUACAAUUAACUGAGAAAGAUAUAUUUAAAUAAAAAGGUUUAAUAAACUUUUAAAUAUAAUUAAAUGAGAAAGACAUUAUGUAACACCCCGGACUUCAAAAGAGCUAAAUAGAGGUUCGUACAAGUUACCCAUCGGUUUUUAGUUUUGGGUCAACUUUAAAUGACCAUAUCUUUAAGCACAUAAAGAAUUAGGUGGACCAUGAGCUAUCAAAUCGAAGGUGUUUGAGUCCUCUUUCCAACGCCACCAAGUUUGCUUAAUUUCGAGCUUGGUGUAAAAAAUUAUGCUCAUUUGAGUGAAGUCUCUGUUUAAGUCUUUUUAUUCUAUUAUAGAAGGGUAUUUUUGUCUUUUCCUUUUCCCACUAGGCCUAGCAUGUUUUUUCUCUCCCAAUUAAGGGUCUAAUGAUAUGCUAAACCACUCUUGAUCGUUUCUAAACACUUAGAAAAAUAAGAGAAGAGUUCAAGAGGAGAAAGAGCUAGGUUUUGAGCGUUCGUCAAGAUCCCGUCGAUUUUCGCCAAGAACAUUGUUGUUUCCAGGUAUGUAAGACUUCUCACAGUGUUGGAAUUGUUCUUCUUCAUCCCAUACAUCUAGUUAUCCACGAAAUCGUUGUAUCUAAAGGCUUCUUGAGUAGUUCUUGAUAUUUGUUCAAUUCCUUAACAAUGGAGGUUGCAAAUUCUUAUGCUUUGUGAAUCUUUAGUAAAAGUUGUGCUUCCCAAAGGGAUUGUGUUGAAUUCCUCAUGUAUUCGUAUUGGGCUUGAGAAUCAAGAAGAGUUAUAGGAGAAUUUUCCCCCAUUCUAACUGAGUUAGGACCCUAAAUUGAGUACAAAAAUUCUUCGACUUUUUGGGUAUCCGGGUGGGGCGGCACGCCACGCCACCAAGGUGCCAGGAAUUUUGGUAUGUAGUUUGGGGCCUGGAGCCCCACGCCAGCAGUGUGCCCCAAACUUUGGUUAGUAGUUUGGGGACUGACUCCCCAUUCCAGCAGUGAGCUAGGGUCGCCUAAACCUUUUUCUUUUCGUGCUUCAUUCCGAACGUGUUCCUUUGAAUCAUGACUACGUUCUCUUCUUUGUAUUAGCUCCUAAAGGCUCCAUUCAUCCUUGAGAGAUCAUAUGUGUCCUAAUCACAUGUCUUAAUUUACAUUCCAAACUAAGUGAGUUUAAGAGGAAAGCUCAAGAGGUGUUUUUGAGUCAUUUUGAGGAUUCUUUAAUCAACAAUGGUUUUGAACUAAGUCUUGAGAAAGUAAAUAUGAGAAAAAAGAAGAGUUGUAUUCAUGAUUGAAAAAGAGUAUAAGGGAAGUAAAUAUUCCCAAAUGUAACACUUUUACGAUUUAAAGAGAGAAACAUUGAUUUCUAAAUGAGUUUAUGAGUUCAGAGAUAUUUUAGAGUAUUGUUUUAUACAUUUGAGCAUGAGUUUAUAUAUUAUAGGGAAUAAUAUUGAGCAUCAAUAUGGGGAUGAGUUCAGACAACUCACAUUCCUCAUAAACCAUGUAGCCAACACGGUUUAUGAGCAUUUUUUGAGUAAUUACUUUAAAUUGAGAAAUAGUUAUGUUUUAUACAUUUGAGCAUGAGUUUAUAUAUUAUAGGGAAUAAUAUUGAGCACGGAUAUGGGGAUAAGUUCAGACAACUCACAAUCCUCAUAAAUCAUAUAGCCAACAGGGGUAAAUGGUUGUACGUACUUUUUAGAUGAUUCCUUAUUGAUUUUAAGCAUAGCUUAGUAGAUCCACUUAGUUGAGGUGUCCUAUACCUCAACAAGGUUUAUGACAGUGUGGGCGAGACACUGUAUAUCACAUAGCUCAUAGUGAUGGUUGCCGGUUAGAGAAUCUCCCAAAUAAGAGUAAAGGAUAACUUAUUGUAUUUUUAUACAUCAUUGAGUUUAUAUUUUCUGUUUUAUAAUGCUUUAAACAUUGCAUCUCUUGUUAUUGCUUUUAUAUUGGAGUUGAGUUGAGGUGAGUGUCUUCCAGUCUUAUUGGUUUAGUUAUCUAUGUUUUCAGUUUCCCCUUACAUGCUCGUACAUUCAAUGUACUGAUGUCAUUCGACCUGCAUCUUAUUAAUGAUGCAGAUACAGGUGUCCAGGGUCAUCAACAAGCGAUUCGUUGAUACCAUUUGCACUCCAACUAGCUUUGGUUAACCUUCUUGUUUUCUAGAGGGCUUCACACUUAUUUCCUUCUUUUGAUUAAGUUGUCGAGGGUUCUGUCCCGACAUCUAUCUUAGUAUUUAGAGGCUUCAUAGAUAGUUAGAGUUGAGGAGUCUCUCAUUAUUUUCCUUAUUGAUGUUUUGAGAUCUUGAGACAGUUACUUAUAUAUUAUUAAGUAUAUCCAGAUGUUCAUUUGAGUUAAGUUCUAUUUGAUACUUUUAAGUUUAAUUAUGCACUUGGAGUUCCCAUUUUGUGUGACAUCUUGGAAUUUGAAAUAACUAUGAAGAAGCUUAUAAUUGGAAAUAGUCAUUUUUGGAAAGAAUGCAAAUCUGGAAAUUUAGUCAAGUAUGGAAAAAAUUGAUUUUUUGGUCAACUUCAAAUGGUCAUAACUCCUAGAUCAGGAUUAUUUAGGUGUAUUUCCAGUUAUGUUUGGAAAGCUCUUGGAAUGAUCUUUCCAACGCCGCUGAGUUUGCACGAUUUCGUGUUCGUAUGAGUGAGUUAUGCCCUUUGGAAGUUGGGCUGUUGGGAUAAGGGAAGUUCAAUCCGAAUUUUUAAGGGGUAGUUUUGGUCUUUUCCCUACCCAUUUCUUUGGUUAUAUUAAGGGUCUAAGCUGAUUUUAUAUCAGUUUUCCCUUUAAAAAGUGAGAGUUAGGGUUGUGAGAGAAGAGAGAAAGAGAGGAGAAAAGAGAAGAAGAAGCAAGGUUCGUCAAGACUCGUCGUGGAUUUCAUCGGGGGUGAUCCCUACUAAGUUAUGUGAGAUCACAUAGUGUGGGGUUGGUUCAGUCCCCCACACGCCAAACUUGUUUCAAUUCCGAGAAAAAGAUUGGUUGUGUUUUGUUGAAUUCUUGUGGUUGUAUUGAAGUUUCUUGUUGAUUUGGUACAUGUUUCCGGGUGUAAUUUUGAGUUGAAUCUAUUGUAUGUUAAGGGUUUUAAUGAUUCUAAGUGUUUGGGGAAAGAACCUUUGAAGUUAACAGGGUUUAGAAUUGGAGAAAUGAAGAAGAAAAGUCGGGUUUUUUUUUUGAAAAAAAGGUGGGGUGUCGCGCCAGCCAGCAAGCCCCAAAAGGGACUCUAAAGUUCCCCCCUUGGGACGACGCGCCAGCCAGUGCGCCCCAACAUGCCCUCUGAAGUUUGAGGGCUGGCGCCCCAAGCCUCUCAGAGCGCCAGGGACACCAAUUCUCCCCAUUCGUUCCCCACUUUUUUUGUACGUGUUCCUUAGUAAUGUACCUAUGUUUUCUAGUUGAUUUCAACACUCUAAGGUACAUCUAAACAUCACAAACUCAUCCAUAAACAUGAGAUCAUGAACCUUGAAUCCAUAAUCCAAAUUCCAAGGAAAGUUAGGAUCAAAGUCAAGUGAAGUUAGAGUCAAGUCUAGAAGUUAAGAAGUAAGUCAAAGCAAGUUUUUAAAGUUUUCAAGAGUCUUUACUGAACGUUUAAACUUCGUUUUAAGGCUCAAGUUUCAAGCAAAGUAUAGAGUUGAGUUCAUUUCUCAAAAGUUAUUAGGGAACUAAGUAUUCCCAAAGAAGUUUAUAAAUGUUUUCUCAUUUGAGUAAGAAAGGAACUAUGUUUUCCAAGAGAGCCGGUGGGCUAGACUUUGAGUAAUUAUCUCAACUAAAGAAAGAGGUGUUUAAAAACACAUAUGAGCUAAAGUAUAUUUUGGGAGUAGUAUUGAGCACCGAAUUGGGGACGCGAGUUCAUCUUAAACUCAACUCUCCAUAAGAACCAUGUAGCCAACAUGGGAUUUAACGGGUCAUACUUUUAAGAUGAUCACGUAAGUUAAGCUAGUGGAUCCACUAAGUUCAGUAAGGUCUUAUAUGUAACACCCUAGAGAAUUUUUCGAACUAAGACUCGAGUCGUCCUUCAUGUGGAGUGAGAUUUUACCGAGGAAUAAAAUUUCUUGAGUGUUAAGUUAAGAUUCCUAGAUGUAGCACAUUGAGUUCCAAGAAGAGUUGAAUUGGAAAUAGUAAUUUUUGGAAAGAAUCUGGAAAAUUUGGCUAUGGAAAAAAAGUGAGUUUUUGGUCAACUUUGAGCAGUCNNNNNNNNNNNNNNNNNNNNNNNNNNNNNNNNNNNNNNNNNNNNNNNNNNNNNNNNNNNGUGUGGGUUGAUCCUUUCCCCCACUCACCAAGCUCAUGUUUAUAGUUUGAGAAAAGGUUGGAUUUGUUGUUGAAGUUGUUAGUUGUUGUUGAUGUUGUUAGUUGUUGUUGAUGUUGUUAGUUGUUGUUGAUGUUGUUAGUUGUUGUUGAUGUUGUUAGUUGUUGUUGAUGUUGUUAGUUGUUGUUGAUGUUGUUAGUUGUUGUUGAUGUUGUUAGUUGUUGUUGAUGUUGUUAGUUGUUGUUGAUGUUGUUAGUUGUUGUUGAUGUUGUUAGUUGUUGUUGAUGUUGUUAGUUGUUGUUGAUGUUGUUAGUUGUGUUGUUGAAGUUAUUGUUGGUUGUGGGACAGGAUUGGGCUGUGUAUUUGAGUUGUGAUCUAUUGUAUGUUGAGAGAUUGAUGAUCCUUAGUGUUGGUUGGUUCAUACCCCCACACACCAACUCGUUUUUAAUUCCAAGAGAAGAUUUAUUGGUUGUUGAAGUUGUAGUGGUGUUGUGUUGAAGUUCUUGCUGGUUUAGUACAGAUUUCUGGCUGUGAUUUUUGAGUUGAAUCUAUUGUAUAUUAAUGGUCUUUAUGAUUCUAUGUGUUGCUGCUGAAACCUUGAGGUUGAGAGAGUUUAGAAUUGGAAAGAAACAAGGGGAAAAAGUCAGAUUUUUGGGGGAAAAGGGCUGGGCUGUUGCGCCAGCCAGCGCACCCAAAAAAAAUGGGAUGCUGAACUUCCCCUUUGGGGCAGAACACCUGGCAGAACGUCCAGCAGUCCCUCUGAAGUUUGAGGGCUGGCGCCCCGCGCCUCUUAGAGCGCCAAGGACGCCAAUCCUUCCCGUUACCUUCAUUCCCCACUUUUUCAUACAUGUUCCUAGGUAUUAUACCUAUGUUUCCUAGUUGUUUCCAACACUCCAAGGUACUUCUAAAAGUCAAGAACUCAUCCGUAACAUGUGAUCAAACACCUUGAAUCCAAAAUUCCAAUUCAAGGAGAGUUAGAUAGAAAUCAAGUGAAGUUAGAUUCCAAGUCAAGUGAAGUUAGAUUUCAAGUUGAGUCAAGAGUUUCAAGUCAAGUCAAAAGUUAAGAGUUUCAAGUUGAGUCAAGAGUUUAAAGUUGAGUUCUUUUCUCAAAGUUAUUAGGGAACUAUGUAUUCCCAAAGAAGUUUUAAAGAAAUGUUUUACAUUUAAACAAGGUUGGAAACUAAGAUUUCCAAAGAGCCUUCGGGAUAGUUUUUUUUGAGUAAUUAUCUCAAUCAGCAGGAAGACAUAUGUUUUAAAAACAUANNNNNNNNNNNNNNNNNNNNNNNNNNNNNNNNNNNNNNNNNNNNNNNNNNNNNNNNNNNNNNNNNNNNNNNNNNNNNNNNNNNNNNNNNNNNNNNNNNNNNNNNNNNNNNNNNNNNNNNNNNNNNNNNNNNNNNNNNNNNNNNNNNNNNNNNNNNNNNNNNNNNNNNNNNNNNNNNNNNNNNNNNNNNNNNNNNNNNNNNNNNNNNNNNNNNNNNNNNNNNNNNNNNNNNNNNNNNNNNNNNNNNNNNNNNNNNNNNNNNNNNNNNNNNNNNNNNNNNNNNNNNNNNNNNNNNNNNNNNNNNNNNNNNNNNNNNNNNNNNNNNNNNNNNNNNNNNNNNNNNNNNNNNNNNNNNNNNNNNNNNNNNNNNNNNNNNNNNNNNNNNNNNNNNNNNNNNNNNNNNNNNNNNNNNNNNNNNNNNNNNNNNNNNNNNNNNNNNNNNNNNNNNNNNNNNNNNNNNNNNNNNNNNNNNNNNNNNNNNNNNNNNNNNNNNNNNNNNNNNNNNNNNNNNNNNNNNNNNNNNNNNNNNNNNNNNNNNNNNNNNNNNNNNNNNNNNNNNNNNNNNNNNNNNNNNNNNNNNNNNNNNNNNNNNNNNNNNNNNNNNNNNNNNNNNNNNNNNNNNNNNNNNNNNNNNNNNNNNNNNNNNNNNNNNNNNNNNNNNNNNNNNNNNNNNNNNNNNNNNNNNNNNNNNNNNNNNNNNNNNNNNNNNNNNNNNNNNNNNNNNNNNNNNNNNNNNNNNNNNNNNNNNNNNNNNNNNNNNNNNNNNNNNNNNNNNNNNNNNNNNNNNNNNNNNNNNNNNNNNNNNNNNNNNNNNNNNNNNNNNNNNNNNNNNNNNNNNNNNNNNNNNNNNNNNNNNNNNNNNNNNNNNNNNNNNNNNNNNNNNNNNNNNNNNNNNNNNNNNNNNNNNNNNNNNNNNNNNNNNNNNNNNNNNNNNNNNNNNNNNNNNNNNNNNNNNNNNNNNNNNNNNNNNNNNNNNNNNNNNNNNNNNNNNNNNNNNNNNNNNNNNNNNNNNNNNNNNNNNNNNNNNNNNNNNNNNNNNNNNNNNNNNNNNNNNNNNNNNNNNNNNNNNNNNNNNNNNNNNNNNNNNNNNNNNNNNNNNNNNNNNNNNNNNNNNNNNNNNNNNNNNNNNNNNNNNNNNNNNNNNNNNNNNNNNNNNNNNNNNNNNNNNNNNNNNNNNNNNNNNNNNNNNNNNNNNNNNNNNNNNNNNNNNNNNNNNNNNNNNNNNNNNNNNNNNNNNNNNNNNNNNNNNNNNNNNNNNNNNNNNNNNNNNNNNNNNNNNNNNNNNNNNNNNNNNNNNNNNNNNNNNNNNNNNNNNNNNNNNNNNNNNNNNNNNNNNNNNNNNNNNNNNNNGUUUUACAAGCUUUAUAUAUUGCAUGUGUCUUAUUGCUUUAUAUUGAGUUCAGCUAUUCAUGAGUUGAACAGAGCCAAGGUAAAUUCUCUUUUAUAUCCCUUUCAAGCUUAAGUUGUUGUUAAGUUGUCCUGCUCGCAUACUCGUACAUUCCAUGUACUGAUGCCAGUUAGCCUGCAUCUUAUUAUGAUGCAGACGCAGGUACCCAGGAUCAUCAUUCAGCACGCCGUUGAUCCAAUUGAGCAUUCCAGAGUCAGUGGUGAGCCUCCUUGCACUCCGGAGGACUCUGUUAUUUCGUUUUCCUAGUUUUGCUUUAUUAGGAUGUUGUGGGGUCUGUCCCAACAUCCAUCUCAGUGUUAUAGAGGUUUCAUAGACAGUCAGACAGUUAGUAUUGAGUCUCUCAUCUAUGUAUUUACAUAUUUUCUAUUUUUGAGACACGAGUUGCCUUUUUGGCCAGAUUUUAUCAUUUAAGUUGCUUUAUGAUCUUUUAUUGUAUUGAGUUGUUCCACUGAGUUUAGUAGCCAGGCCAAUGGUUCGCUUGGGGCCAGCGAUGGUCUUCGAGUGCCAGUCCCGCCCAGGAUGUAGGCUCGGGGCGUGACAUUUUGCAUGAUUAAGUCUUUCGUUAAGUAGUCAGUCAGGCCAAGGGUUCGCUUGAGGUCCAACGAUGGUUCUCAAGUGCCGACCACGUCUAGGGUGUAGGCUCGGAGCAUGACAAACUUGGUGUCAAAGCACAAAGUUGAAGAGUCCAAGGGUGUCUAUCAAGUCGUGUCUAUAGAGUCAUUUUUAUCUAUGUGAAGCGCGUCACAUCUAUGAUUAAGAGGCUACAACAUUUAGAAAACAUUUCACUUUCUUCUUACUCUUGUUCGUGCGAUAGAGUUCAACUUUAUAAAAGUUUCCUCUAACUCGUGCUUAUGCGUGUCUUUUCAGAUCAUGCCUCCAUGAAGAGUUGUUCGAGGAUGUCCUGCUAAAAAGAAGGUGAAUCCUCAAGGUCAAGAAAUUCCCAAUGCACCAGAAGUGCAACCACCUCAAGAGGAUGUCACCAAUACUGGAUUCAGGAAUGCUAUCCAGAUGUUGACUCAAGUGGUGGCAAAUCAGGCUAGUCAACAAAGAGCAGGUCAUUAGGAUGUGACUGGUACAUUCAUAAUCUGUGAGUUCUUGAGAAUGAAUCCCCAGAGUUCAUAGGGUCGAAUAUCACUAAGCAUAAAAAGAACUUUGUGGAAGAAUGUCACGCCCCGAGCUUACACCCUGGACGUGGCUGACACUCGAAGACCAUUGCUGGCCCCAAGCGAAUCCUUGGCCUAGCUUCUUAACUCAGUGAAAACCAAACUCAACAGAAAACUCCAUGCAACGAAAAGUCAUAAAACAACCCAACUGAUAAAAUCUGGCCAAAAAGGCAACUAGAGUCUCAAAAUAGAAUAUUUACAUAUAAACAUAGAUGAGAGACUCAACACUAACUGACUGACUGUCUAUGAAGCCUCUAUAAUACUGAGAUGGAUGUUAGGACAGACCCCACAACAUCCUAAUAAAACAAAACUAGGAAAAACGAAAUAACAGAGUCCUCCGGAAUGCAAGGAGGCUCACCACUGACUCUGGAAUGCUCAAUUGGAUCAACGGCGUGCUGAAUGAUGAUCCUGGGUACCUGCGUCUGCAUCAUAAUAAGAUGCAGGCUAACUGGCAUCAGUACAUGGAAUGUACGAGUAUGCGAGCAGGACAACUUAACAACAACUUAAGCUUGAAAGGGAUAUAAAAGAGAAUUUACCUUGGCUCUGUUCAACUCAUGAAUAGCUGAACUCAAUAUAAAGCAAUAAGACACAUGCAAUAUAUAAAGCUUGUAAAACUAUUUAAAACAUGACGUAAAAAUCAUAUUUAUAAUAUCAUGAAAAUACCAUUCUUCCUCUCAAAGUCUACUUGUGCAAUGCAUGAAUGAAGUCUCAUACCCCCAUCCAUACUAAGCAGAACCCCUCGAGGAAUCAUGCAAUUUCUAUUGUGGAGUUUCUCUAACCGACAACCACCACUACAUGCCUAAGUGGUGAUACAACAUUUACCUCACGUUGCCUAAGGACCAUCCUAUACCUUGCCGUGAUAUAUGACCUUACUUUAACUUUAACUUAGUGGAUCCACUAGCUUAACUUUACGUGAUCAUCUAAAAAGUAUGACCCAUCAAAUCCCAUGUUUGGCUACAUGGUUCUUAUGGAGAGUUGGUUAAUAUGAACUCGUGUCCCCAAUUCGGUGCUCAAGACUACUCCCAAAAAUACUUUAGCUCAUUAGUGUUUUAAACACAUCUUUCUUUAGUUGAGAUAAUUACUCAAAACUUAGCCCAAAGGCUCUUGAAAAACUACUUCUAAAAAGAACAUAUCAAAAACCAUAUUUUAAUAUGAUCAUUGAUGACUCGGGAAAGUCAUACUGCAUAAACAUUGAUGGUAUAUCUAGAGACCAUACUGUUUAACAUUGAUGACAUACUUGAUUUGUCAUACUAAUCAUGUUUUAGAAACUCUUUCGCAAAAACUCAUCUUUUCUCAAAAAGAGAUAGUACUCAAACUUCUCAAAACUCUUUUGGAAAUCUCAGUUUCCUCUCAACUUAAAUGUGAAAACACUUAUAAACUUCCUUGGGAAAUACUUAGUUCCCUAAUUACUUUUGAGAAAUGAACUCAACUCUUGACUCUUGACUUAACUCGAAACUCGAUACUCUUUACUCGACUUGAAACUAUAUGCUCUUUACUCUUUGCUAAACUUGAAACUAUAUCAACUUUAUACUCUUGGCUUAACUUGAAACUCUAUGCUCUUUACUCAACUUGAAACUUUAUGCUCUUUACUCACUUUAUACUCUUGGCUUAACUUGAAACUCUUUACUUAACUUGAAACUCGAGCCUUUAAAUGAAGUUAAAACGUUCAAUAAAGACUCUUGAAAAACUUAAAAGACUUGCUUUGACUUACCUCUUAACUUCUAAGCUUGGCUCUAACUUCACUUGACUUUGAUCCUAACUCGCCUUGAAUUGGAUUAUGGAUUCAAGGUAUAUGAUCACAUGUUUAUGGAUGAGUUCUUGACGUUUAGACGUACCUUGGAGUGUUGAAAACAACUAUAAAACAUAGGUACAUUACCAAGGAACAUGUAUGAAAAAGUGGGGAAUGAAUGGGAAGACUUGGUGUCCUUGGCGCUCUGAGAGGCGCGGGGCGCCAGCCUUCAGAGGGGCCUGCUGGGCGCUCUUCAAGGCGUGCCACCCCAAGAGGGAAACUUCAGAACCCCUGUUGGGGCGCGCUGGCUUGCGCGACGCCCCAACCCUUUCCCCCAAAAAUUCGACUCCUCUCCUUCAUUUUUCCAACUCUAAACCACCUUAACUUCAAAGUUUCCAGCCCCAAACACUUAGAAUCAUAAAACCCCUCAACAUACACUAGAUUCAACUCGAAAUCACAACCGGAAACAUACACCAAGGAACUUCAACAACACCACCAACAACUUCAACAAACACAACCAAUCUUUUUCUCGAAAUUAAAACGAGUUUGGCGUGUGGGGGAAAGAACCAACCCAACACUAUGAUAUCACAUACCUUAAUAGGGAUCACCCCCGACGAAAUCCACGAUGAUCUUGACGAAUCCUUGCUUCUUCUUCUCUUUCUCCUCUUCUUUCCUUUUUUCUCAAGAACCCUAACUCUCACUCUUUUAAAAAGGGAAAUCUGAUUUAAAAUCAGCCUAAACCCUUAAUAUAACCAAAAGAAAUGGCUAGGGAAAAGACCAAAAUACCCUUACAAAUUCGGACUAAACUGCCCUGCCAACACCCAACUUCCAAAGGGAAUAACUCACUCAUACGAACUCGGAAUCGCGCAAACUCGGCGGCGUUGGAAAGAUCACUCCAUGAACUUUCCAAAAAUAACUGGAAAUACACCUAACUCAUCCUUAGCUAGGAGUUAUGACUGCUCAAAGUUGACCAAAAACUCACUUUUUUUCCAUACUUAGCUAAAUUUUCCAGAUUUUUAAUUCUUUCCAAAAAUGACUAUUUCCAAUUCUAAGCUUUUUCAUAGCUAUUUCAAAUUGCUGGAUGUUUACAAAGAACUUCAGAAAGUGUUUGAGGUUAUGCGUGUUGCCGAUGCAGAGAGUGUGGAGUUAGCUUCAUACUAGCUCAAAGGUGUUGGUUAAAUAUUGUUUAAUCAAUUGAGAAGAGCAGGGCAGAGGGGGCACCACUUUUGAGUUGGGCGGUGUUCGAAGGUGCUUUUGUGGGGUGCGUCUUUCCCCUCGAUCUAAGGGAAGCAAAGGUAAGAGAAUUUCUAAAUCUGAAACAGGAGUCCAUGAGUGUCCAAGAGUACAACCUCAAGUUCACUCAGUUAUCCCCUAUGUUCCGGAGAAGACGAUUGAUAUGAGGAGCAGGAUGAGUUUAUUUGUGUCUGGGUUAUCCCGAUUGUCAAGUAAGGAAGGUAAGGCAAACAUAUGUUUUUUCCAUUUCAAAUAAGUCCCGAAACAUGAAAUAGAGAUUUUUCCUUUUGUUCUUGUGUUAUAGUCCAUGGAUAAAAACUGUUUUUCAUAAAUUGAUUUUAUUAUAUUAAAAUUGACAUUUAUAUUUGAAUUACAAAGAUAUUUCCAACUAAAUAUUCAUUUCUUUCAUUUGAUUUAUACCAAAAAAGAAAAACAAUUUUCUAUCAAGUUGGGGAAAAUUCAAAUUUGAAUGGGAUAAAAGUUGUUUUUUAGAAAACAAGAUUGACCAAACCGCCUUAUGGCAGUUUGAAUGCUUAGAUCUCAAAAAAAUACCCGACCUUUAAAAGAAUCGCUUGAAACGGACAUCCGAGGCAAACAUUAUGAAUAUUUGAAGUUUCACCAAUUUACAACUACUUAUUCUAGUUCCACUCCUUAACUUUGAAGACAUGUAAUUGGAUCCCUAAAAAUCAGACCAAAAAAUUAUAUUUCGAAAGAUGGUUUUACGAGUCAAGUCCACUGGUUGUAAAUAGUGUUCGUAGUUGUUAGACAAAAAUAACUGGACUAGGCUAGUCUUUUGGUAAAAUAGUUAUAAUGCUAACUUUAAAUGAUACAAACUUAGUGGUGUUAGAAAGAAAACUCAUAGACCUAUAGUAUGAUAUGUCAUGGGCCACCUAAUUCAUUACGUACUAAAAGAUAUGGUAGUAUAUAUUGUUUGCCUUCAGGAGAGACACUUAUUGAUUACGGGCAGUUUUUUGACCAACUAUUUACUUGGGCAUUCGCGAGGACCUAAAAAAUUGUGUGUGUUAGUUCAGAGGGGUAAAAGUAGGUAUUUUCAAGUUCAAACGAGGCACAAACCAUGAAAUAAGGAUUUUUCUAUUUUUCGUGUGUUAUAAUCCAUGAAUUUUUGUAGGUGUCCGUGAUGAUCUAUUAAAUGGUGUGCGUUGGUUCAGAGGGACAAACAUAGAUUUUUUCAAGUUCAAAUGAGGCCCGAACUUGAAAAUAGAGAUUUUUCCAUUUUUCAUGUAUUGUAGUCCAUGAAUUUUUUGUGGUAUGUGCACUCGAUGAUUUUUUGGCUGAUAUUUUCCAUGGGCGUCUGUAACGACCUAUUAAAUAGCGCGCGUUGGUUUUGAGGGGCAAACAUAAGUUUUUCUUUAAGUUCAAAUGAGACCCGAACUAGGUAAUAGGGAUUUCUUUUUCAUUUUUCAUGUGUUAUAGUCCAUAGAUUUUAUGUUAUAUGUGCGCCCGACAUUUUUUUGGCCAAAUUUUUUCGUGGACAUCCCUGACAACCUAUUAAAUGGCGUGUGUUAGUUCGAAAGGGAAAACAUUGAGUCUUUCCAUUUCAAAUGAGUCCCGAAACAAGAAAUAAGGAUUAUUUAGUUUUUCGUGUGUUAUAGUCCAUGGAUUUUAUUUGAUAUGUCGCAUAGUGGUUUUCUGGGCGAAAUUUCUGUGCGGGUCCGUGACGACCUAUUUAAUCUCUUUUUUUUUUUUUUUGUAAAAAGUGUUGCAUAACAAGGUGGUUGUGGAUCUAAAUCUCACAUUUUACGAGUCCAGUCUACUUGUUGUAACUAGUGUUCAUAGUUGUGAGACACAAUAAACCCGACUAGUCUAGUCUUUGUAAAACGGUCAUAACACUUUACUAUAAAUUUUAAAUUAUACAUUUGGUGGAGUUAGAAAGAAAACUCACAGACCUACAAUUCAGUAUGUCAUGGACCACCUUAUACAUUACGUAUUAAAAUAUAUGGUGGUAUAUAUUGUUUGCCUUCGGUGAGACAUUCAUUGAUUAUGGGCAGAUUUUUGGCCAAGAUUUUUCGUGGGCAUUCGUGACGACCUAAUAAAUUGAGCGUUAGUUUGAAGGGGUAAAUGUAGGUAUUUUCAAGUUCAAACGAGGCACAGAUCAUGAUAUAUGGAUUUUUGCAUUUUUCGUGUGUUAUAAUUCAUGGAUUUUAAGUAAUAUGUGCGCCUGGCGAUAUUUUGUUUGAAAUUUUCCAUGAGCAUCCGUUAUGACCUAUUAAUGGCACGCUUUAGUUCUGAUGGGCAAAUGUAGGGUUUUUUCAAGUUUAAACUUGGCCUGGAAUGGGAAAUUAUGAUUUUUUUUCAUUUUUCUUGUGUUAUAAUCCAUGGAUUUUGUGUGAUAUGUGUGCCAAAUGGUUCUUUGGCCAAAAUUUUCAUGGGCAUCCAUGAAAACCUAUUAAAUGGUGUGCGUUGGUUCAGAGGGUCAAACAUAGGUAUUUCCGAGUUCAAAUGAGGCCUGCACAGGGGAAUAGAGUGUUUUCUAUUUUUCAUGUAUUAUAGUCCAUGGAUUUUGAAUGAUAUGUGCGCCCAAUGGUCUUUUGGCCAAAAAUUUUCAUAGGUGUCCAUGAUGACCUACUAAAUGGUGCGUGUUUGUUCGGAGGGGCAAAAUUAGGUUUUUCAAGUUCAAACAAGGCUCGAACUGGGAAAUAAGGAUUUGUCCAUUUUUCUUGUUUUAUAGUCCAUGUAUUUUGUGUGAUAUGUGCGCCCGACGGUUUUUUGGCAUAAAUUUUUCGUGGACAUUCAUGACAACCUAUUAAAUGGCACGCGUUGGUUCGAUGGGGGGCAAAUUUAGGUUUAUUUAAGUUCAAACGAGGUCCAAAAUGGGAAAUAGUGAUUUUUAAAAAUUUUCGUGUGUUAUAGUCCAUGAAUUUUAAGAGAUAUGUGCUCCUGGUGAUUUUUGGCUGAAAUUUUCCAUGAGCAUUUGUGACGACCUACUUAAUGGCGUGCGUUGGUUUGAGGGGCAAACACUUGUUUUUUUCCAUUUCAAAUAAGUCCCGAAACAAGAAAUAGAGAUUUUUCCAUUUUGCUUGUGUUAUAGUCCAUGGAUAAAAAACUGUUUUUUUUUCAUAAAAAUUGAUUUUAUUAUAUGAAAAUUGACAUUUAUAUUUGAAUUACAAAAAUAUUUCCAACUAAAAAUCCAUUUCUUUCAUUUGAUUUAUACCAAAAAAGAAAAAAACAAUUUUCUAUCAAAUUGGAGAAAAUUCAAAUUUGAAUGGGAUAAAAGUUGUUUUUCAAAAAAGUUGACAUAGUGAUACUGAUACAUAACAAGUGACAAAGGUUUGCCUUUAGAGUUAUGUUAAAUGCUAACUCAUGAUCACAAGUGAUAAUAAAGAUAUUUACAAAGUUGAAACAGAAUAUGAAGUAUGUAUAUUUAAUUUGAUCCACUAUUAUUGUGGGAAGUUUCAGAUAAGAGUAUCAAACUUAUUCAAUUAGUUCUAAUCAAAUAAUUAGGUGACAAGAAAAAAAAUGGGCAUGUUGAUGUUCCUUUAUUUUUAGUAUUGAUAUAAAUUAAUUGAAAACAGUAUGAUUGAAAAUGGUUGGUUGAUUUGCAAUUAUAGUUUUCUUCUUCAAACUAAUACAACUUUUAUUUGAAAACAACUGGGCAUAGUAAUGAUAACUUUUUAUCGUGACAUAGGUUUAUAUUUUCGUAUCAUAAUAUCUCUGAUUUUAGUUUGUAAAUAACUGGGCAUAAAUUUGUUAAGUUGGUCAAUAGCUGAGGAUAACUAUUCACUAGAUUUACUUUAAAAAGUCCCACAUUGGGGGUAAAGACAUUUCCUAACAAAGGUGACUAUGUACUACUAGGGCUCGAAUGCAAGAUCUUUAGUUAAGAAUCAAAAAGUAUUUACCACUGUAUCACAACCCUCGUUGGUAGUAUACCCUGUUCGUGUAGAAGUCAUCCAUAGUAAUAGUGAUAGUUUCCCUUUUCAUUUUAGAAACUACUAUUUUCUUAAGAAAAAUGAUGUUUGGAGAAUACAUUUGGUCACUGUUCUUCAUCAGAUUCAGGCCAGUUGGAACAUAAAAUUUGGCAUUAAAACCUUCCAAAACAUUAAUUUAAACACUCAAAAUACUCUUCAGCUUCUUCUUCAUACACAUCUGAUAUAUGGACUUUUGAAGUCUGUCCUCUCCUGAGAAAUCUACUAUCUGUUUCUUAAUCUCAAUGGCUGAAUCUCCAACCUCACGCUUAUUAUCAGUUAAAUGAAUGGACUUUAAAGUGUGUAUAUGCAUAAAUGCACAAGGGAUCUCCCUAAGAUGGUCACAAUGAUUUAGUAUUAAUUCCUCAAGUUUGGGAAAAGUUUCCGUAUCAACUUGCCAUUCUGAAAGGUUGACCAUUAGCAAAGACAGAGUCUUAAGGCUUUGAUAGAUGUCCUCACUUGCGUCUCAUUCAUCCUCCACGAAUUUACAGUCCAUAAACUCUAGAAUUUCAAGCUCAGGCAAUGCCGCGAUUGCUGACAACAAAUCAGGUCUCAGCAGGGGAAAACUAUACAACCAUAACUCUUUCAACCUGUUAGGGAAGUAAUAUGCAUUGGGUACUUGUCGGAUUUGGUUUGUUAACUUGGGAUAUUCAAAGUAUCUGACAUCUUUGUAUAGGAUAAUCUGUAAAGAUGUUGCACUGAAGGUGCUAAAUUUUUGGGAACUUCUCCAGAACAUCACUCGUGGCUUCAUGAUCUGUAAUAACAACAUUGGAUAAAGUUGUCAAGUGUUCUAACUUUGGUUGAUGCAUAAUAUUGUCUGCAUCUAUUUCCUCUUCCUCUUUCUCUUCAAAGAAAGAACAAAAGUAAAUUUCCACAUGUUUCAGCUUUGACAGUUUUAAUAUUCUGGGCAGUAAUACCAUGGUGGAAUAUCUCGUUUUGAUGAAUAGAGUUUCUAGAUUCUGGAGGUUCAACCGCGACAGUGGGAUAACUUUAACAUCUCGAGUCUACGACACUGUCUCAGCAUGAAAGAUUAUUUUCUCUUGUUCGAAAAACCAUGUACUUUGUUGUACAUAUGCAGGUGAAUCAACUAACGAUGACCAACCAUUGAUUUAACACUCCCUAUUGUUUAACCAAAGUCUAAAUCCAUACCCGACUUAUCUCCAAGCAACAUGAAGCCUCCAAAUUUCAAUCUUGAAUCAGAAGACGAGUCCGAGGUCAACAACUGCCAAGUGGGUUCAAACAUUUCCGUCCAAGAAAUUCAUCCUGGUCCUUCCCUUAAUCUUCAGCAGGAAUCAGUUCCUGUUACUCUUGACUUGAUUCUUGGCUUCAACAGCAGUGACUCCGAGUGCUCGUGGCUUCAUGAUCUGUAAUAACAACAUUGGAUAAAGUUGUCAAGUGUUCUAACUUUGGUUGAUGCAUAAUAUUGUCUGCAUCUAUUUCCUCUUCCUCUUUCUCUUCAAAGAAAGAACAAAAGUAAAUUUCCACAUGUUUCAGCUUUGACAGUUUUAAUAUUCUGGGCAGUAAUACCAUGGUGGAAUAUCUCGUUUUGAUGAAUAGAGUUUCUAGAUUCUGGAGGUUCAACCGCGACAGUGGGAUAACUUUAACAUCUCGAGUCUACGACACUGUCUCAGCAUGAAAGAUUAUUUUCUCUUGUUCGAAAAACCAUGUACUUUGUUGUACAUAUGCAGGUGAAUCAACUAACGAUGACCAACCAUUGAUUUAACACUCCCUAUUGUUUAACCAAAGUCUAAAUCCAUACCCGACUUAUCUCCAAGCAACAUGAAGCCUCCAAAUUUCAAUCUUGAAUCAGAAGACGAGUCCGAGGUCAACAACUGCCAAGUGGGUUCAAACAUUUCCGUCCAAGAAAUUCAUCCUGGUCCUUCCCUUAAUCUUCAGCAGGAAUCAGUUCCUGUUACUCUUGACUUGAUUCUUGGCUUCAACAGCUGUGACUCCGAGUUGAAAGCCAACGGAGAGGCGAGUGACGAAGUAGUACCCCAUCCUCCAACGGCAGCACUAUCCAGAGUUUUCUCGUGCAAUUUCUGCAGGCGCAAGUUUUACAGCUCACAGGCGUUGGGCGGACAUCAGAACGCACAUAAGAGGGAGAGGACUUUAGCUAAGAGAGCAAUGCGGAUGGGAAUGUUAUCGGACAGGUACGCUAGCUUAGCAUCAUUGCCCCUUCACGGGACUGCAUUUCGAUCUCUUGGCGUUGAAGCUCAUGCUUCCGCACACCAACGCAUCUCGCACCAAGAAACGCCUAUUCAUGCAGUUAGAAGCGGGGCUAGAUUUGAACAAGGCUAUUUCGGGAUGCCAGUAUUCGUGGAGGAUGAUGAAGUGGAGGUGUUCUGGCCCGGUAGCUUCAGGCAAAUAGAGGGAAUUGGUGGCAAUAUGGGGUAUAAUUCAGGGCAAAGUUCAAGCAUAAAUUUUGUAGCUGUAGCUCCUCAAACUAGGACAGAUCAAACAUUGCCUGAUCUUAAUUUGAAACUCUGAUGGUCUUUUUUUUUUUGCAUUCUAUUCUACUUUUUUGUAUCAGAAUUUUCAUAAUUGUGGUAUUACAUUAGUGCUCUAUUUGUACAGGAGGUGAAUAUUUGAGACUGUCUUGAGCUUUCAAUUUUGAAUCUUUUUCAUUCCCAAAUUUGUUUAGUUGACCAACUUAUUGUACAACUAGUCUAUGGGAACGUGCGUUGCACGUUUGUUCCUUAACACUAUUAUAGAACUUUGAUAUAUUUAAAAAAAAUUAAGUUAUGAAAUAGCAAAUUUUAAAAUUAACAAUAUUAAUUUUAUAUUUGUAUUUUAUUCAUUAAAUAAAUUACAUAAAAGUGGGACAUGACAUUUUUCAUGAAACAAAAAAUAUGUGAAGUCAAUUAUGACAGUAUAGUCUCUAAUGGUCUAAAUAUGUCGAUGAAUUGUUGAAUUGAAAAUUAAUAAAUUCAUGUAAAUGUCUCUAACGAAAUUUUCAAAUACAUGAACAUACGAACAAAUACCAAAAACGUAAAAUAAUAAUACUGAAAUUUUAUCAUAGUAACAAAAAUAAUAUGUAUAUCCAUUCACUAAAAUUACACGCUAGCUCUAAAUUUUAUAAUCCAAAUGGGUUGACAAACAAAGUUAGUUAAUUGUAUGACAAAAACAAGAGUCAUACACUUGAUCUUGAUAUAAUGUAAGAUCUCCAAAAAUGGUCAAAAAUACAAAAGCACAUAUUAUAUUAUAUAUAUGAAUAAAGCCUUUUAAUUCACAUUGCUUUACACUAAUGAAGACGAUGAUAAUUUAUUAUCGAUUUAUCAUGUUUACAAAUUGGUAGCUCAUAAAUCAAACAAUAAUACAUAAUUCGAUUCAGAAAAAAUCCAAAAGAAAAGAAAAAUAUAUAAAGUCUAAUUAACUUGACACUCACAAUACCCUUCAAUUGUUAAAACGUGUAGUGUGGUGAUAUUGUAAUUAAUAGAGGCUGCACAUAAAACUAAAAACAAAUAAAUACCACCUUAAUUGUUAAAAAACAUGACUUUUGAGCUUCUUGAAACCAAAUUAAUAAAGAAAUAAAGAAAAUAUAGUAGAAAAAUAUAAAGAGACAUUCAGGGUUCUUUUAAAAUAUUAAAUAAAUAAUAGAAAAUUAAUAACAAAAGAGAAAGGAAAAAUUUAAUGCACAGCAAAAUAGAGUUUAACACCAUUUUAUUCCUCUAGACGCAUUGAGUCGUUGAGAUAUACGACGUUUCAGUCAUCAUUAAAAAUUGAAAUGAAAACACUUAAAAGCACAUUUAAUAUUAUAAUUAAAAAUUUAAAUGAUUGUUUUGAAGUUCUUUUACUCUAGCAUAAUAUAUUGUAUAUGUUCACAAUAAGUAUUACACGGAAAAGUAACUCCGGAAAAUUGAAAAGAAUACAAUAAAUUUAGUUUCUCAACUAAAUAAUUCAUUCUAAAUAUUUAAUGUUCUAAUAAUAUUUAUUAUAAUAUAAGUUUAUUUUUUUAAUAAAUAAAAUAUUUAUAGAAAUAAUUUUAGCUUGAGGGUAAAAUGGUAAUCCAACUUUGAUUAUUGAAGCUUCCCACUUAUAAUAAUAUAUGAUAUGAUUAUAUGAUGUUAUUCAAAAUACAGAUUUGGGACUGUGGUGAUUUUUUUUAGUUUAUGCAAACCUUUAACUUCCUCCCAUUUUAACCAUGUUUAUUAUUAUUCGCUAGAUUCACUUCAGAAAGUCUCACAUUGAGGGUAAGACAUACAUUCCCUAACAAAAGGGACUCUAUAUCCGGUAUGGCUUAAACGCGAGACCUCUAAUUAAGGAUCAAAGAGUACUACCACUCCACCACAAUGCUUGUUGGCAGUAGUCAUCUAAUUAUCCAUAUUCUUAAAAAAAAAAGAGGGAUAGUUGCCUUUUUCAUGUUCUUGAAAAAAAAAAGGGGGAAUUGUCCAUUGAUGACUGUUCUUCAUCAGAUUCAGGCCAAAUGGGACAUAUAUUGAUUCACAAUUUGGCAUUGAAACCUUCCAAUUGAAAACCUAGAAUCUUAUAUGAGAGAUUACAGACAAAAUAAGAUUCAUAACUAACAAAAAACAGGAAAGAAAACACACAACACAUUAAAUUAAAAUAUAUCCAAAACCAGCAAUGAAAAAAACCAGUAACAAGUUUGUUUAUUGGAAGCAGUAAUCAGAUGGAAGCGUCGCGUUGUUUCUUUCUUCAUUGUUGUUCUAUCCUUGAGUCCUUUGGGCAUUCUGCAAAUCAUAUAUAGUAUGAUUUAAAUUAAAUGAAGUAUAUAUGUAUGUAGGGGUAACGAUAUAAGAAUUAAUUACCUCUUCUUCAGCCUCUUCUUCAGCUUCUUCUUCAGCCUCUUCUUCAUCUUCUUCUUCAGUCUCUUCUUCAUCUUCUUCUUCAUACAAAUCUUCUAUAUGGACUUGAGGUCUGUCCUCUCCUGUGAAAGCUUCUACUUGUUUCUUAAUCUCAAUGGCUGAAUCUCCAAUCUCACGCUUAUUAUUAGUUAAAUGAAUGGACUUUAAAGUGUGUAUAUCUAUAAAUGCAGAAGGGAUCUCCGUAAGCUUGUAACAAUGUUCUAGUCUUAAUUCCUCAAGCUUGGGAAAGGUUUCCAUAUCAAAUUGCCAUUCCGAAUGAUUGACCACUUGCAUAGACAAAGUUUUAAGACUUUGAUAGAUAUCCUCACUUGCGUCCCACUUGUCCUCUAUGAAUUCACAGUCAAUAAACUCCAGAAUUUCAAGCUCAGGCAAUGCCGUGAUUAAUGACAACAAAUCAGGUCUCAGGGGAAAACCAUACAACCGUAACUCUUUCAAGCUGUUAGGGAAGUAAUAUUCAUUGGGUUGUCGGAUUUUGUCUGCUAACUCGGGAUAGCCAACAUUCUCGUACAUUGCAAUGAGUGAUUCAAGUUUAUCAAGGACAUCAAACUUGGGAAACCAAUCACCCUGUGUAAGAGGAUCUAUCGGUUCCUUGAUGUGGCAAUGAAGGUGCUGAAGAUUUGGGAACUUCUCUAGAACAUCACUCGNNNNNNNNNNNNNNNNNNNNNNNNNNNNNNNNNNNNNNNNNNNNNNNNNNNNNGUUGUCAAGUCUUCUAACUUUGAAUUCUCAGCUUCCAAUAUUCUACUUGGUUGAUGCAUAAUAUUGUCCACAUCCAUUACAUCCUCUUCAAAGAAAGAACUCAUGUCAAUUUUCACAUGUUUCAGCUUUGACAGUUUGAAUAUUAUAGGAAGUAAUACCAUGGUGGAAUAUCCAGUAUUGAUCAACAAAGUUUCCAGAUUCUGGAGGUUCAACCACGACAAUGGGAUAGCUUUUACAUCUUGAGUUCGAAUCCUUAAGAACCUCAAAUGAAAUAGGGAGCCUAUUUCUUCCAUUAAAGAAUCUUCCAGAAUAAUGCUAUCCAGUUGCAACACUCUAGCAAGUCCAAAAGGUCUUGUAUGGCAGAUAUAGCUGGAGUUAAGAGGCCAACCGCUAACUUUCAAAGAUAUGAGAUGCUUACUACCAGCUGAACACUUAUUAGAAUUGAACAAAACACAUUUUUUGUGGAGUUGACUGUCGUAAAUAUGAAUGGUUAGACGAUGAUGUAGGAAAUCCGAAGCAUGAAAUCGAGCACCUGGAUUCAUUAACUUGAAAAACUUUGCCUUUAUAGAUUUUUCUAAACAAAAAUCGUGCACAACAUCAUGCACAUAGCAAACCUUGAUCCUAACAGAAAAAGGCAUACUCUUCUUGGAGGGGAUUUGAUCCACCAUUAUCAGGCUACUGGAAACUAAAGCAUCCAAGUCACUUUGAGUUGCUUCCUCUAAACUACUCUUGGAUCGGAUAUCAUGAUCCACAAACCCUUCGGCCAUCCACAACUGCUUUAACUUAGAGACCGGAGUUCGUUUGUUCUUUUGUGAUCUUGCGAAGUAAAGCAACAAUGGCUUCAGGUGGCAUGGUAAAUGGUCAUAACUUAAUUGCAUAACCUUCAUCAUCUGCAAAUUGAUGUUGGCAGAAAUAAAGGAAUCCAGAUUAUCUUGAAUCUUAAGCCACAAAU
rnacentral:lncRNA from 1 species